rnacentral:rRNA from 1 species
UUGUGGUUAAAAAGCUCGUAGUUGGAUCUCGGCGGACUGAGGGCGGUUUGCUUGCUAGUAUUACUGCCCUAUAGUCCGUAGUUUUGCCAGAGGUUUCGGGGUGCUCUUAAUCGAGUGUCCCGGGAUGCUGGCAGGUUUACUUUGAAAAAAUUAGAGUGCUCAAAGCAGGCUAUUACGCCUGAAUAUUCGUGCAUGGAAUAAUAGAAUAGGAAGUCGUUUCUAUUUUGUUGGUUUUCGGAAAUCGACUUAAUGAUUAAUAGGGACAGUCGGGGGCAUUUGUAUUCAAACGACAGAGGUGAAAUUCUUGGACCGUUUGAAGACAAACUACUGCGAAAGCAUUUGCCAAGAAUGUUUUCAUUAAUCAAGAACGAAAGUUAAAGGUUCGAAGGCGAUUAGAUACCGCCCUAGUUUUAACCAUAAACGAUGCCAGCUAGCGAUCUGCGGACGUUUUUUUUGUAGACUCCGCAGGAAGCUUCCGGGAAACCAAAGCAUUUGGGUUCCAAGGGGAAGUAUGGUUGCAAAGCUGAAACUUAAAGGAAUUGACCGAAGGGCACCACCAGGAGUGGAGCCUGUGGCUUAAUUUGACUCAACACGGGA